rnacentral:rRNA from 1 species
GAUCCUGGCUCAGGAUGAACGCUGGCGGCGUGCCUAACACAUGCAAGUCGAGCGAUUCUCUUCGGAGAAGAGCGGCGGACGGGUGAGUAACGCGUGGGUAACCUGCCCUGUACACACGGAUAACAUACCGAAAGGUAUGCUAAUACGAGAUAACAUAAGAAAAUCGCAUGUUUUUCUUAUCAAAGCUCCGGCGGUACAGGAUGGACCCGCGUCUGAUUAGCUAGUUGGUGAGGUAAUGGCU